UGGACAAUGGAUGGAAAUCUGAUCCAGCCAUGCCGCGUGCAGGAAGACGGCCCUAUGGGUUGUAAACUGCUUUUGUAUGGGAGCAAUAAGGACUACGUGUAGUUUGAUGAGAGUACCAUACGAAUAAGCAUCGGCUAACUCCGUGCCAGCAGCCGCGGUAAUACGGAGGAUGCGAGUGUUAUCCGGAUUUAUUGGGUUUAAAGGGUGCGUAGGCGGCGAUAUAAGUCAGUGGUGAAAUAUUUCGGCUUAACCGAGAGACUGCCAUUGAUACUGUGUGGCUAGAAUAUGGUUGCUGUGAGUAGAAUGUGUGGUGGAGCGGUGAAAUGCUUAGAUAUCACACAGAAUAUCGAUUGCGAAGGCAGCUCACAAAGCCAUUAUUGACGCUGAGGCACGAAAGUGUGGGGAUCAAACA
rnacentral:rRNA from 1 species